rnacentral:rRNA from 1 species
GCGCACGGGUGCGUAACACGUAUGCAACCUACCUAUCAUUGGGGGAUAGCCUUUGGAAACGGAGAUUAAUACCGCAUAAGACAGUAACAUGGCAUCAUGUAGCUGUUAAAGCUUCGGCGAUGAUAGAUGGGCAUGCGUCCAAUUAGUUAGUUGGUGAGGUAAUGGCUCACCAAGACGAUGAUUGGUAGGGGAUCUGAGAGGAUAAUCCCCCACACUGGCACUGAGAUACGGGCCAGACUCCUACGGGAGGCAGCAGUAGGGAAUAUUGGGCAAUGGACGGAAGUCUGACCCAGCCAUGCCGCGUGCAGGAUGAAGGCGUUAUGCGUUGUAAACUGCUUUUUUAUAGGAAGAAGGAGACCUUGCGAGGUUUGGUGACGGUACUAUAAGAAUAAGCACCGGCUAACUCCGUGCCAGCAGCCGCGGUAAUACGGAGGGUGCGAGCGUUGUCCGGAUUUAUUGGGUUUAAAGGGUGCGUAGGCGGUUUAUUAAGUCAGUGGUGAAAGACGGUCGCUCAACGAUUGCAGUGCCAUUGAUACUGGUAGACUUGAGUUCGUAUGAGGUAGCUGGAAUGGAUAGUGUAGCGGUGAAAUGCAUAGAUAUUAUCCAGAACUCCAAUUGCGUAGGCCGGUUACUAGUACGAUACUGACGCUUAUGCGCGAAAGUGUGGGGAUCAAACAGGAUUAGAUACCCUGGUAGUCCACACUGUAAACGAUGAUGACUAACUGUCUGCCCCUUUGGGGUGAGUGGGACACACAAAUCG